rnacentral:rRNA from 1 species
GCGUAGGCGGGGUAGGUAAGUCAGUGGUGAAAUCCUGGAGCUCAACUCCAGAACUGCCAUUGAUACUAUCUAUCUUGAAUAUUGUGGAGGUAAGCGGAAUAUGUCAUGUAGCGGUGAAAUGCUUAGAUAUGACAUAGAACACCCAUUGCGAAGGCAGCUUACUACGCAUAUAUUGACGCUGAGGCACGAAAGCGUGGGGAUCAAACAGGAUUAGAUACCCUGGUAGUCCACGCCCUAAACUAUGGAUACUCGACAUAUGCGAUACACUGUAUGUGUCUGAGCGAAAGCAUUAAGUAUCCCACCUGGGAAGUACGUUCGCAAGAAUGAAACUCAAAGGAAUUGGCGGGGGUCCGCACAAGCGGUGGAGUAUGUGGUUUAAUUCGAUGAUACGCGAGGAACCUUACCUGGGCUAGAAUGCUGGGAGAUCGCUAGUGAAAGCUAGUUUUGUAGCAAUACACUGCCAGUAAGGUGCUGCAUGGCCGUCGUCAGCUCGUGCCGUGAGGUGUUGGGUUAAGUCCCGCAACGAGCGCAACCCCUAUCUUUAGUUGCCAACAGGUAAUGCUGGGAACUCUAAAGAAACUGCCGCCGUAAGGUGUGAGGAAGGAGGGGAUGAUGUCAGGUCAUCAUGGCCUUUAUG